rnacentral:rRNA from 1 species
AUUCCCCUAGAUAACGGCGAGCGAACGGGGAAGAGUCCAGCGCCGAAGUUGGUUCCCCUCCGGGGGUUCGAACAAUGUGGCGUUUGGGAGGGAGCUUUCCCGGGACGGUCGGAGCAGCAAGUCCCCCUGACAGGGGCUCUUACCCARAGCGGGUGCGAGGCCCGUAGUUGCUCCGUCCCCUCGGGAUGCGACCUCUCCGGAGUCGGGUUGCUUGGGAGUGCAGCCCCAAGUUGGUGGUAAACUCCACCUAAGGCUAAAUACGGCCGCGAGACCGAUAGCAAACAAGUACCGUGAGGGAAAGUUGCAAAGAACUUUGAAGAGAGAGUUCAAGAGUACGUGAAACUGCUCARAGGCAAACGGGUGGGCCCUCGAAAUCCUCUUGCGGAGAGAUUCAGUCUGGAGCGGCAGGGGCGGACGCGGGUAACGGACCCUCGAAAAGGACGGGUCCCGCGACGCAGUCCCGGUCGCGCCARACGCACUUCUCCCCGCACUCGGGACGCCGCAACGGAUCGGGUAGCUGCGAGAGUCGGCCUUGAGGCGGUUCCAGGCAGGUGGCCGGGCGCUGGGCUUCGGCCCUUCACCCGGUUAUUCACGGGACCGUUCGUGGCGCGACACCCGAUCGAGGUUAACGUUCCCCCUACGGGGAACCUUCCGUCUCCGUCUUCGGGCGCGGUGCCAGUGCC